GCGUAAGCGUGCGUAGGUGGUUUGUUAAGUCUGAUGUGAAAGCCCUGGGCUCAACCUGGGAAUGGCAUUGGAAACUGGCUUACUAGAGUGCGGUAGAGGGUAGUGGAAUUCCCGGUGUAGCAGUGAAAUGCGUAGAUAUCGGGAGGAACAUCUGUGGCGAAGGCGACUACCUGGACCAGCACUGACACUGAGGCACGAAAGCGUGGGGAGCAAACAGGAUUAGAUACCCUGGUAGUCCACGCCCUAAACGAUGCGAACUGGAUGUUGGGAGCAACUUGGCUCUCAGUAUCGAAGCUAACGCGUUAAGUUCGCCGCCUGGGAAGUACGGUCGCAAGACUGAAACUCAAAGGAAUUGACGGGGGCCCGCACAAGCGGUGAAGUAUGUGGUUUAAUU
rnacentral:rRNA from 1 species